GACGAACGCUGGCGGCGCGCCUAACACAUGCAAGUCGAACGAGAGAUGAAGAGCUUGCUCUUCAGAUCGAGUGGCGAACGGGUGAGUAACGCGUGAGGAACCUGCCUCAAAGAGGGGGACAACAGUUGGAAACGACUGCUAAUACCGCAUAAGCCCACGGCUCGGCAUCGAGCAGAGGGAAAAGGAGUGAUCCGCUUUGAGAUGGCCUCGCGUCCGAUUAGCUAGUUGGUGAGGUAACGGCCCACCAAGGCGACGAUCGGUAGCCGGACUGAGAGGUUGAACGGCCACAUUGGGACUGAGACACGGCCCAGACUCCUACGGGAGGCAGCAGUGGGGAAUAUUGCACAAUGGGGGGGAACCCUGAUGCAGCGACGCCGCGUGGAGGGAAGAAGGUCUUCGGGAUUGUAAACUCCUGUUGUUGAGGAAGAUAAUGACGGUACUCAACAAGGAAGUGACGGCUAACUACGUG
rnacentral:rRNA from 1 species